rnacentral:rRNA from 1 species
UACAGAGGGGGCAAGCGCUGUUCGGAAUUACUGGGCGUAAAGGGCGCGUAGGCGGCCUGCUAAGUCGAACGUGAAAUCCCUGGGCUCAACCCAGGAACUGCGUCCGAUACUGGUUGGCUUGAAUCCGGGAGAGGGAUGCGGAAUUCCAGGUGUAGCGGUGAAAUGUGUAGAGAUCGGGUAGGAACACCGGUGGCGAAGGCGGGUCUCUGGGCAUCUCCUGACGCUGAGGCGCGAAAAGCGUGGGGAGCAAACGGG